AUCAAGAAUCGGAGUACUUAGAAUUCGACUCCCGAAAUACUACGCUACAGCGAGAAUGCCUUCCCGCUGCAGCAAGGACCCGUCGUUUACUUGACGUAAUUUGCAUAAAGGCUAUUAAGAUCAGGAGGUAGUCAGUAAUUAGGUCGAGGUGACCUCCUAGAUUCGACUAAUGGUAGGUGUCUCGGCAUUCAGUAGCUGUACAUUUGUCUGAGUUUCUCCGCUGAAAGUCAAGUACUCUUUUGUUGUGUAUAGACAAACCGAUGUAAAUUAUUAAAUUAUGUUUAGACAAUAUAUGUACACUUUGAUUGGUAUGGCACUAUGAGAUGGCAAUGUUUAGUAUUAUUUUGAUUCAAAGUUAUAAAAUGUAACUUAGCAACUUUUAA
rnacentral:sRNA from 1 species